rnacentral:misc_RNA from 1 species
GAUGAAGAACGUAGCGAAAUGUGAUACGUAAUGUGAAUUGCAGAAUUCAGUGAAUCAUCGAAUCUUUGAACGCAUAUUGCGCUCUCUGGUAUUCCGGAGAGCAUGCUUGUUUGAGUAUCAGUAAACACCUCAACUUCCAUAUCUUUUUUGAAAUGGGAGUUGGACUUGAGUGAUCCCAACGCUUUUCCUCACCGAAAAGUGGCGGGUUACUUGAAAUGCAGGUGCAGCUGGACUUUUCUCUGAGCUAUAAGCAUAUCUAUUUAGUCUGCCUAAAAAACAGAUUAUUACCUUUGCUGCAGCUAACAUAAAGGAGAUUAGUUCUUGUGCUGACUGAUGCAGGAUUCACAAAGACGGCUUCGGCCGACUUUGUAAACUCGAUCUCAAAUCAAGUAAGACUACCCGCUGAACUUAAGCAUAUCAAUAAGCGGAGGA